rnacentral:lncRNA from 1 species
UCGAACCAUUGCCCUCACUAAUGUGCGGGCAACAUCUCACAACUCAACCUUUAGCCAAGUUGCAAUAUGUUUUUUUUACACAUUAUAAGUACAUUUCCUUGCCAAACGAACAUCUUAUUAUCUUUUCGUCGAAAAGUGAGUCACUUCAUGAUUCAUUUCUUGUCAAAAUCUCUAUUUUAUGUUUUAUUCUAUUUUCUUAUCCAUUAGUUCUAAAUCUUUAUAAAGAUAUAAACUGGCCGUAAAUUUUCUUUUAUUGAAAUUUUCUUCUCCCCUAAUUUGGUGGUUGGGAGUUUAUAGCUUGUUAAAUAUAUUUUUGGUGAUUAUUUCAAGAUCUGAAGCUUUUACAUCUCAGAUCUAAGAACUUGUCCUUUUUUUUGCGGUUUGUAUGUCUUGGUGGUGCACUUUUACUACAUCUUAAGUUAUUAGAUUCCAGAUCUAGAAAAUCACAGGGUUGAUCUACUUAAAUGAUGCGACUAGCAAUCAGAAUGAUCAAUAAUAAUGGUCGGAAAUAUUUCGAUGAGCACAAGAGACAUCUCUGGCGGUGCGCAAGUUGUUAUGUGCACAUCUUGGGUGGAUCCUUUCAAUUCUAAUCCCAAUGCAUAAAAUCUUUAACCGGAUGUCGGUAAGCUUACAAUUAAUUGUUUUUUGCAUUUAAUUAGAUAUUAUUAAAAAUCUUUCUUUGACUGUCAUUAUCGUCAUCCUCAUCAUCGUUAUUAUCAUUAUUUUUCUAUUGUUUUUAUAUUUAACUGUGAAAUAAAAUUGGGCUUGUAGUCCAUUGGUAAUUCAUGCGUCCAAUAACCUUGAUCGCAUGAGUUUGAAUCUUAUAACUCGACUCUUCUUUCCUAAAUGUUUAUUUGACUCUCUGUUUUAGGAGUAGAAUAUAUUUUUCUCCUAUGUUAAAGUGAGAGUUGUUGUUCGGGCUGUGAUAUCUUAGAAUUACAAAGGAGAGUUGCGAUUGGUGUUUGGUUGUAAAAAUAUCAGUAGAGUUAUAAUUGUAAUAUAUCAGUAUAUUAAAAAAAAGUUAUUAUCAUUUCACUACUUCAAAAAUUACCAAAUAUCAAAUGACUACAACAAGUAUUGUCUCCUAUAAUUUUCUUACUAUAUCUUUAUAAAAAUAUCAUUUUACUACUUUUCUGUUAUAACCAUUAGUUGACCAGUUAGUUGACUAACAAAAUACCAAUUUCAUCCUUCAUGAUUAAAAAAAAAAAUACUUGAAACUUAUUUACAAAAUAAAUUUGUAAUAUAUUUAUUAAAAUAGAUAUAUAAUACCAACAUAAUUCUUUUUGCUGGAAUUAUGAUAUAUGGAUUAUAAAUUUGUCUUAUUAUUAUUUUUAAUUAUGAAGGGUAAAAUUGAUAUUUUAUUAGUCAACUAACUGGUCAACUAACGGGUCAACUAACAGUUGUAACGGAAAAGUAGUAAAAUAAUAUUUGUUGUAACGGAAAAGUAGUAAAAUUAUAUUUUUAUAAAGAUAUAGUAGGAAAAUAAUAUGAGACAAUACUUGUUGUAGUCAUUUGAUAUUUAGUAAUUUUUGAAGUAGUAAAAUGAUAAUAACCCUAAAAAAAAUUGUGUAACAAAAUUAUAAAAAAUCAUAAAUAUGUCAUUAAGCAUAUUAAUUGCUAAUCUCUAGUAAAUUGCGUAUAAAUUGAAACAUAAAUUUGACAUUAAGCACUCAGCAGGUUGUAAGAUAUAGAGGAAGAACAUGACAAAAAUAGUUGAGCAAGACACAUGAGAGUAGGAGCGCGUACAUAUAUACAUGAAAAAUACUUCGCUGUUCCAAUAUCUAGUAAAUUGCAAAUUUCUCAUAACUCUUAGAAUUACUUGGAAAAAUUAUUGCUUCUCUAAAUAUUGGAAUUUUUUUUUAGAUUGAUGUUUUUAUUCACAUAACAGGACACACUAAUCUUUAUUGAUAAAUUUGAAAUUUGAUGGAGCACAUGGCAAUACUUCUAAUACUAUAUUCAUUUUAUUUUAUACAUUAUUUUUCUUUCUAAACUUUAGUGUAUUUUGGGAAAGAUAAAUAAAGAAAAUCUCUAUUCAAAGCAAAUUUUUAGGAGGAAAGAUGGAGAAAGUAUAUCUCAAAGAGAAUUUAAAAAAAAAAUUGCCCUGUGAUAAUAGGUGAUAUGAACUUAAAUUUAUGUUGUAAUUAAAGUCGAAUUUCAUCAAUAUGUGAUAUAAGAAUGCAUUUUCUCAUAUUUUUAUCAUUACUAUAAGAUAUUUAAUGCAUUUUAUCCUAUUUUCUUCGGUUCUUCCCUAGAUUUCAAAUAUUAAGACAAGAUCCCAAAAAAAAAAAAAAAACAAGUUUCAUCGUAGGUAUGAUGUAGAACAUUAUGCAAAACUAAUCAUUAAAAAAAAAUUAAUAACUAAUUUUAGAAAAUGAUUGCCUAAGUAAGUGAUUGAAUAGAUGUUACAUUUUUCUACGAUUCUGUACUAUUCAACUUUAUUUUUAAUUUGAAAAAGAUUCGGUAGUAGUUUUCCACAGAAUCUAAGAAAUGCAGCAUCUUAAAACAGUAGUGUUAUGUCAUUUGUUAUAUCAUCCACUUUUUAGUAAUGACUAUGUUACUCUCUAAAAUUGGUUAUUAUCAGUUUGUCACAAUUUUUUUUAUAUAAAAUAAUUUUUUUUAGGUUAUAGUACGAAUUUUUUUCCUUAAUAAUGGAGAAAAUCUGAGAAGAUGCAUUCUUAUAUUACCACAUAUUUAUGGGAUUGGACUUUAAUUGCAAUAUAGAUUCGAGUUUAUUUUCAUCUAUUCUCACAAGACCCAAAAAAAAAAAAAAAAAAAAAAAAUCUCUUUAAAGGCUUAAGGGCUAUAUAUAUAUAUAUAUAUAUAGUUGAUUUUUCUUAUGUUUAGAAAGAGUAUAGUGACUGAAGUAGAUUUUCUUUCUCCUUCUUAGGAAAAUCACUUUGGAAUCAAUGCUCAAAAUGAAUAUAUUUGUGUAACCAAUUAAUUUCACAUUUAUCAGUAUAAGUGUAACCAAUUGAUUAAGAUAAAAAAAAUGCAUCAACCUCAAGAAAUAUUAUAAUAUUGAGAGAAGUAGGAACGCAGUGAUUAAGAAAUCUUACCUUUGUAGGAUUAGUGAAACACUAGGUAUUUGUGUGACUUCGUAUUUUACUGGGGUUAUUAUCUAGAAAUUUCAAUUUCUUUUUUGUUUUUUUUUUUAAGUAAACACUCAACUAACCGAGGAGAUUUAUUAAAUUGAAAGAUCAGUAGUAUUUAAUUGAAUUAGGAUUGAACAAUAUUUAACAUUGAGAUUUUAAAACUUUGAUCUAUUACAUCUCAUCUUCAAAAUUUUAAAUUCUCAAUCUUAAAUGUAUUCAAUUCUAUUUUAAAUUGAAAUUGAUUAGUCUAUGAAUAAUCAUUCAACGAUUAAAAGUAGUACUACAAACAAGGACACCUUAUUUGACAUACUAGAUACAGAAUUACAAGAAAAUGCAUUUUUCAUAUCACAUGUUUAUGACAUUAGGCUUAAACUUCAAUAUAAAUUCAUCAAGUGUUACCUAUUCUAAGCAAAAAAAACUUCAUUAUAGCACAGAAGGACCAUGUAAACUGCUCAAAGAGAUUUUUUUUUUUUUUUCUAAUUCUUCUUCUUUUUAUAUUUUUUUUAGAGGAGGUGCACUGAAUGAAUUUGUAUUGAAGUUUAAGCCUAAUGUCAUAAAUAUAUGACAUAAAGAAUGCAUUAAUUAUCCUCGGAUAAUAUAUUUAAUUAAAUAGAAUUGAAUCAGAGUAAUUUCUUCUGUCCAAGUUUAUUUGUUUUCAAUAUUUUAGUUUGUUUACUUUUUAUUUUAGAGUUUCGUGUAAAUUUAAAUAACAAAAUAAGUUUAAGAAAACAGCUGGCUUUUUCUAAAGUUGAUAAAUUUUGUGAACAUCAUUGCUAAUAUUACCCGAACUUUGCCAUAAAUCAAUUUAAAAAAAAUAAAUGCUUUCAAAGGAUAUUGAUGUCAUUGCAGGCUCAAUUUUAUUUUCUGAUUGAAAAUAAAUUUUGAUUUUUCUACGAUCAGUAAAGGUUCAAAUUCUUAUUCUAACAACAAACGUUGUUUUGAUACUCUCUGUUAUUAUGUUAUAGAAAUUGGAUUGUUCUUCCCUCAAACUUUUAUUAUGCGGUAGUUUAGAAGCUUAUUUAUUAGUUCCUCUUAAAGGUUAAACCAGAAUGAAUAUACAAGUACGAACGACAGUGUCAGUUAUUAUAAAACUUGGUGUAUGACAUCGAGGUUAGAUAGAACACGACAUGUCGGUUGGAAGCUCCAAUUUCAUGUAUGACAUCAAUCUAAUGUCAUACGAAAAAGUUAUAUAAGUGAAGCAUGCGUUUUUCACAUGACCUCAUGGUAUCUUUGAAGCACAAAGCAGUAAGCUCAGGAUGCCGUUUGAAUAACUUAUUUGUUUCACAUGAUUUGCACGUGACAAAUGCUGUUAAAGUUAGUUAAAAGAGGCGGGAAGAUUCUAGGUUUGUUUCAACAAACCCAGAAACUUAGCUUAGCUACUGAACCAACUUCUAGGAGCUUCCUAGACCUGUAUAUAAAGCCAUAGUGGCUCUAAUCUCGGUGAGGGUAUUCCUUGUAACUCUCUCUACAAACUUGUAACCUGGUUUGAGUGAAUUGACGAAAAAAGCCAUGAUAUGUUUCUCAAAGAGGACGUAAGCCACCUUCGCUGAACCUCUAUAAAUCUAUUGUUUUGAUUUUCAUCUAUUCUUUUAAGCUUGUUUGACGUUAGAUUAUUUCUUGUUUGUCUUAUUAUUGUUCUUUGAUUCAUUAAUUAGCAAUCGUUUUGGGGCGAAAGAUCAGGAUUUAUCAAUUUUGAAAAAUUUAGUAUCAAGCUGGACCCUAAUAGCCAAAAUGUGAUGGUGGAACAACUUAAAUUUGUGAUGGUGAAACAACUUAAAUUUAUCGGACAAAAAAACUAGAGUCCAGUAGUGGUUUCAUCCGGGAGGAGAUUGUAAAACUGUGUCCCACAUUGACUAGUAAAUAGAAAAUAGGGAAAAUAUCCACCGUCCACCCAUUUUUUACACAUUUUUCAAAAAUACACAAUUCCUUCAUUUUUUGGCUGGAAUCCACCUAAAGUUUCAUUUUUUUUCACUUUUCCACUUCCGUUUGGAAUCCGUUAAGAAAACUAACGGAAACUUAAAAAAAUGACCAUUUUACCCCCAAAACGAAAAUUACAAUUUCACCUUAAAAAUUAUAAAAAAUAAUUAGAUUAAAUCUAAUAAUUUUCCCCAUCGGUCAGUAAAGAAAUUAAUUCCACAACCAUCAAAUACAGGUUUUUUUUUAAAAUAUGUCGGUAAUUAGAAUGCUAAAUUAUAACAGUAGUAUUAAAAAUAGCUCAAUCUCACAAACCAUCAAUUGAAUUUAAGAUAAGUAAAAUUUUAUUAUUCAUUGAGUUAUAAUCUCUAGUAGUUAAGAUUUUUUUGUACUUCAUUAACGUACCAAUAAUGAUAUUCAUCAUUAAAUCUUAUUAUUUUUGGCAUUUUUUAGGGUGAAAUUGUAAUUUUCGUUUUGGGGGUAAAAUGGUCAUUUUUUUAAGUUUCCGUUAGUUUGCUUAACGGAUUCCAAACGGAAGUGGAAAAGUGAAAAAAAAUGUAACUUUAGGUGGAUUCCAGCCAAAAAAUGAAAGAAUUGUGUAUUUUUGAAAAAAGUGUAAAAAAUAGGUGGACGAUGGAUAUUUUCCCUAGAAAAUACAUGAGUUAGUAAGUAUGAUAUGACACUUCAUUAAAUAAGUUAGUUUUUUUUGUUGGAUACCUAAAAAUAUAAGGCAAAGUCCCCAACAAUUUCUACCAUAAUUAAUGGUAAAUAUUCAUUUAGUGGGAAAAAAAGAGAAAGUUAUUAUACAAAAAUCUCUUUGUUCAAUAAGUGAAACUUUACAUUCAUGUCACUGAUAGAAAAGAUAAUUCAAAUAGAACAUACACAUAUUUGUAAUUGAAGCCCUAAAAGCUGUGAUAUGGUUCAGUAAUAUCCCUAUACACAGAAAUUUCUAGUCAUUGAAAGAUUUGUAUGAUAUGUAUAGGUUAUUUUUUGUUAGUCACCACCCCUCUUAAUACUUGUCCUGUCAAAGCACGGUCAAUUGCAAUCUGACAAGAGUAGUAUCGACGGCGCUUGGAAACAUCAGUGUCUUCCAGUUGACCAAUUUCUUUCCUUCACCAAAUCAUUCCCAACAACAAGAUCUUCCACUGACCAUGAUGUGGAGCCUGAGUAAUAUAUGGAUUAGCAUUAGAAUGUGCGCAGUUUAAGGUAAUUAGAUGCCAAAUCAAACGUAUAAUUAAAUAGUAGGUUUAUCAGUUCAAUACCUUGAACUGAGGCAAUAAUUGAUUGUUCGAUUUGGGGGAAUAGUUUCCUGCGCCCGUAAAUGGCAUCUCGGGCCAUCUUUGUCCCAUGUAUCCUUACCCUGUAAAAAAGGGAAAAAAUAAAAAUGUGUUAACAAAGAUGCUUAAUUAAAACAAUUUAAAAAGAUAAAAUAAAUAUAUUAACACACUUACUGGGACUUGUCAACAGCAGGAUCAAAUAUCUGGUAAAUCACUAAUUCGAUAUUUAUAAAAUUACUUUUAUUAUUAAUAUUUUUCUCGAUAUUAUAAUAUUUCGUGAGAUUGAUGGGUUAUUUGUUCUUAGUAGUGCACAUUUAUCUUUGCUAAUAAAUGUGAAAUUUGGUGAAUCACAUGCCAAUAUUUGUAAUACUAUAUCCAUUAAUUCUGUAAAUUUUUUGUAGACUUUUAGGUAUACUUUGAAGGAGAGAAAGAAUACAUAGCACUUAAAGAGAUGUUAUUUUUGUUUUAUGAGAGUAUGUGGACAAUGAACUGAAAUUUAUAAUGUAGUUAAUGUUUAAUAUCAUAAAUAUGAGGCCAUAUAAAAAUGCUUAUCC